CUUGCAUCAUGGGAAUGUGUUGGUGCAAGUGGCUGGAAGCUGGGCAGAAUCACUCAAUUAUCAGAAGGCUGGAGACUCUCCCUGUUGUAGAGCCUGUGCAGGAAAGAAACAUCACAGGGAGGAGACAGAACUUUUCACAAAUACUUGAACCCAAGGCCUCCUAAGUUUCACCAAACACAUUGAAAAACCUGGUUUUCCUUUUCUCUCCUACAAUUCAAUGACCAGCAGAGGUGCAGGAACAUCCAUCAGGAGGAGCUCAAGGCUAAAGCAGGCACUGAAGAGGAGCUAGAAGACAAGCAUCUGAAGCUCAUCAAACAGCCUAGCUGAGCUAUUUUAAUAUAUGAGAAGGGAAUUAAAUUAAAGAUUGGUGAAAAAUAUUUCAUUUUAGCAAAGUAUUCUGGUCCAUUAGAGCAAAGGGAGUGGCUGUUUAUUUUGCAGUUCUACUUUUUUUCCCUUUAAAAAUACUUUGUGCACAGGGCUCUCACUUGAGGGUAAUCUUUAUCAUAACUCAUUAGCUCUUAUCUAAAAUCAAACUACUAUACUUGAUUUUACAUGUGUAAUGCUCUGUUUUUAAUAUUGUAACGUGGUUUCAUUGGCCUAAAGAGCUGGAGAGCAGGAAAGAAGAGAUGGUGAGAACAGAGCUGUGUGAGUACCUCCACACACAUGCAGAGGGAGAAGCCAAGUCAAAAC